rnacentral:rRNA from 1 species
UGGUUGAUCCUGCCAGUAGUGAUAUGCUUGUUUCAAAGAUUAAGCCAUGCAUGACUAAGUAUAAGCGAACUUAUACAGUGAAACUGCGGAUGGCUCAUUAAAACGGUUUGAAUUUAUUUGAUGAAUGUAUGAGAAUACUACUUGGAUAACCGUAGUAAUUCUAGAGCUAAUACAUGCAACGACGCCCGACCGUUUCACUACGGAAGGGCUGUAUUUAUUGGAUACCAAAACCAUUCCUCCCUCGGGAAGUUUUGUUUGAUGAUUCACAAUAACUGAUCGGAUCGCCACUGUGGUGGCGACAGGUCAUUCAACAUUCUGCCCUAUCAGCUUUCGAUGGUUGUGUAGUGGACAACCAUGGCCAUAACGGGUAACGGAGAAUCAGGGUUCGAUUCCGGAGAAGGAGCUUGAGAAUUGGCUACUACAUCUAAGGAAGGCAGCAGGCGCGCAAAUUACCCAAUCCCGAUUCGGGGAGGUAGUGACAAAAAAUAACAAUACCGGGCCUUUUUGGGCUUGGUAAUUGGAAUGAGGGAGAGUUAAACGGACCAUCGAGUAUCCAUUGGAGGGCAAGUCUGGUGCCAGCAGCUGCGGUAAUACCAGCUCCAAUAGCGUAUAUUAAAGUUGUUGCAGUUAAAAAGCUCGUAGUUGGACUUGUGUGCGCUGUCCGCGGGUGGCCUGCGCCCAAAAGGGCGUUUCGGUUCGGCCCCGGUGGCGCCUUGAAAUCUGCAGCUGGGGGGACGUUGGCCUUAACUGGUCGGCGACCGCACGCCGACUGCUCGGCUACUGUGAGAAAAUUAGAGUGUUCAAGGCAGGCAUUGGGUGCAAUUGAAUACAUUAGCAUGGAAUAAUAAAAUAUGGCUCCUGCCGUAUUUUGUUGGUUUUGACUGGUGGGAGUAAUGAUUGAUAGGGACGGUUGGGGGUGCUAGUAUUGAGCGGCCAGAGGUGAAAUUCAUGGAUUCGCUCAAGACGAACUUAUGCGAAAGCAUUCACCAAGGACGUCCUCUUUAAUCAAGAACGAAAGUUGGGGGAUCGAAGACGAUCAGAUACCGUCGUAGUCUCAACCAUAAACUAUGUCGACUUGGGAUCGGCGGUAGUUUUUUCAUUAAGACACUGUCGGGACCACGGGAGAAAUCAAAGUGUCUGGACUCUGGGGGAAGUAUGGUCGCAAGGCUGAAACUUGAAGGAAUUGACGGAAGGGCACCACCAGGAGUGGAGCCUGCGGC